AUUUGACUUUGGCCUUCUACACUGAACAGUUGCACAAACAGGACCGAGUUGCUUCAAGCGGUUCUGGAAUAUCUUUCAGCAUAGAAAUAUUAAAUUUUAAAUUGCUUUGUAUAUCCAGGAGGACCGAGUCAGUUUGGCUUUUUUUUCUAACUCUACCAAAAGAGGGUAAUUUUGGUCUACACUGGAUUAGGAUCCAGAGAUGACUGAGUUGUUUUCUUAGUGGAAUGGUGCUAACGAUAUGCUUACCGAGGACUUCUUCGAUCCGGGUGCUGAUUCGUUUGAGAGAUCGACAUUUACUAAAUGGAUGUGUGUGUCAUUUUUGCUAUGACGACAAAUCGUGAUAAACGACGUCGGCCGGAUUGAUCGAAAGAGAUACGAAAUACGGCUCGGAGGUGAGUAAUCGUACCUCUCGAGUUUUAUGAUAGCAUGCUGCUCUAUGGUAUUGGUUCGAAUAGAACUCACGUUGGGUUCUUACGGAAUUUUGGAUAGUACCAAUCCUCUUUAGGAAAAACUAUACUGAGCAAAAAAAUGACAUCCUUCUACAGAGGCAUUUCUCUAUUCAAUAAACUAAUCAAACUUAACUCGAGUCAGAGUACAGCUCGUACGCUAUGGGAGAAACGUUCUAGAUUGAUACAUGAAUCGUUUAUAGGUGAUCAUCGACAAUAUCCGAAUUAACUUCAACGUAAGCGAUAAUCAAAACGUCGAGCCAGAUAAAGAACACUUACACAACACAACAUGGAGCUGAUUUUUUUGGAAAGAAACAAUGGUUCGACAUAUCGAGUAAAUGCUGGCCCUGCUUGUAGCAAAUGGUCAUAUUCAUCUAAAACCAAUAGAAAGUAAAACAGCGGGAAUCUACAUAAGCAUGUCCACCUUUCAAAACCUCGGAGAGCUAGUUCAGAACUGGAAAAAGCCACACUUGUCACACUAUCUGCAAAAAUGCCGUACAGAUCAGUGGACUGUCUAUCUUCAUCGUUAAGAAAUAACUCUUAGCUAUGACCAAUCUGUUCUGAAUUAUUUAAGUCUACUCAUGGUUUUUACAAUUUUGGACCAGAAGGAUGGCAGAUAAUACACUGUCCUUUGGAAAAGAGGCGAUGGAGACGAGAAGUGAUCGUUGAUGGCGAAAAUAAUUAAACUUUUCCAGACCCCUCACAUUUCGUAAAAAAACUAUAAUUUGAUAUUCUCGAUUUAUAACAUUUUAUAAAAAAUUAGAUCAAGCGGCUAUCCUCAUUACAAAUGAAGACCUACACAAUUAAAGCAGGCCCCCUUUGGUAGAUUGUAGUAAUUUCCACAUUUAUUGGCGUCUGAAAUUUAUAUUUUUCAAAGAGUUUUAUUGAAAUUUUUUCAAAAUACUGGAAUUUGAAAAGUGAGGACUCAAGUGGGUUUUAAACAACCAAGCCUGAGAUCAUUACUGUUUACGUCAUUCGCGAACUUUGUUUAUUAGUUUGCGGCGUAUUUAUUGUCGUGUGGCGCAUAGAUGUUCAUCCUUAAACAGACGAAGGCAACGACUUUUUUUAAAGCCCUGUUAAAACACAA